ACACUACGUAUCGCAUUCGCUGCGUCUCAUCGUGCGAGAGCCAGAUAUCCGUGUGAGAGUGUUUCGUAAAACUGCCGAUUAACAGCAGCCGAAACUUCAGAGUUUGGUUUAAUCAAUGGUUGGUCAAUGUGUGUGUGUGUAAGUAGGGCCAAACCGGUGAGGGUUCGACCUAACGUCGGUACACAAGUAAAAGAGUGCGUGUUGUGGUUUGCAUAUUCAAUGAUCUUCCCGUAGGGUGGGACUCGGAAGGAUCAUUGAAUAUGCAAACCACAACACGCACUCUUUUACUUGUGUACCGACGUUAGGUCGAACCCUCACCGGUUUGGCCUACUUACACACACACACACCAUUGACCAACCAUUGAUUAAACCAAACUCUGAAGUUUCGGCUGCUGUUAAUCGGCAGUUUUAACGAAAACAACUCUCAACAACGGAUAUCUUGGCUCUCGCAACGAUGAAGAACGCAGCGAAAUGCGAUACGUAGUGUGAAUUGCAGAAUUCCGUGAACCAUCGAAUCUUUGAACGCAUAUUGCGCUCGACUCCUCGGAGAAGAGCAUGUCUGCCUCAGCGUCGGUUUACACCCUCACCCCUCUUCCUCUUCGGAGGGAGCUUGUCGUGCUUGCUUAAGCCGGCAUCAGGGGUGGAUCUGGCCCUCCCAAUCGGAGUCACAUCUGGUUGGGUUGGCUGAAGCACAGAGGCUUAAACUGGGACCCGAUUCGGGCUCAACUGGAUAGGUAGCAACACCCUCUGUGGUGCCUACACGAAGUUGUGUCUGAGGACCUGGUUAGGAGCCAAGCAGGAAACGUGCCUUUGGCGCGUAUCUCUGUAUUCGACGUGAGCUCAGGCAUGGCUACCCCGG
rnacentral:rRNA from 1 species